GCCUGAUUAGAAUGGUACUAUAAAAGGACAGGACUUGCUAACCAUGAGGGAGAACCAGGAAAUGCAGACUUCCAGCUGCCUGGCCAACACGCCAACACGCCAACACGCCAACCUAAACUUUUGGUGCAUGAACUGACUAUCCCUCUGGACGUGCCGCUGGGACAAAAGGAAGUGGACACGGCCCUGGGCAACCCCAUCGGGGGACCUGGAGGCAUCGCCACACCUCAAGGCUGGGUUAAUGUGCUGUAGAGGCAGUGCGUCUCAAGGGAGCCGAGCGACCAGCAGUAAGAGAAGCAGGCCGAGCACACCACCUGUGAUGUGCAGUGCUGGAGGAUCCGGAGUUCAGGACAUUCCAAGUUGCUGGACCGGAGAGAGCGCUGGGAGCUUGGAGUGAAUCAGCAAGCACACUACAGAUUGCUAUUGCGGCUAAGGGAGCCAAGAUUUGCAGCGGAUUGGGAGUGACAGUGGACUGGGAGGGUGUAUUGGGACUGGUGAAACUAUUUAUUUUUCUUGGUGGGGGCUAUAGGUUAGUGAAUUAUGUGCACUUAUUCACUUUAGGUGUCGAGUUUUAAUUAAAAGAAUGUGUGAAUGUUCCAUCGCUGUUUUAUAGUAACUAACUUCUUAUGGUGUUUUAUAGAUCAAUUAACUGGUUUCUGCAAUAAAGAAUUAUGAUUUUA